rnacentral:rRNA from 1 species
CGAACGGGUGAGUAAUGNGUGACCAACCUGCCCCAUGCUCCAGAAUAGCUCUUGGAAACGGGUGGUAAUGCUGGAUGCUCCAACUUGACGCAUGUCUUGUUGGGAAAGUGUUUAGUGGCAUGGGAUGGGGUCGCGUCCUAUCAGCUUGUAGGCGGGGUAAUGGCCCACCUAGGCUUCGACGGGUAGCCGGCCUGAGAGGGCGGACGGCCACAUUGGGACUGAGAUACGGCCCAGACUCCUACGGGAGGCAGCAGGA